rnacentral:rRNA from 1 species
AAAAGCUUUCUUUAAUUGAAUAAUUGAAUUUAAUUUUUUAGUGCAAAAGCAAAAAUAAAAAUUAGGGACAAGAAGACCCUAUGAAUUUUUUAUUAAAUUUUAUAAAACUUUUUAUAAAAUUUAAUUUAAUUGGGGUGAUGGAAAAAGAAUAAAUAUCUUUUUUUUAAAGAAAAUUGGUUCCGUUUUUAGCGAUUAAAUGAAAAAAAUACUCUAGGGAUAACAGCGUAAUAAUUUUGGAUAGUUCAUAUAGAUAAAAUAGUUUGCGACCUCGAUGU